rnacentral:rRNA from 1 species
GUGGGGAAUCUUGCACAAUGGGGGAAACCCUGAUGCAGCGACGCCGCGUGAGCGAUGAAGCCCUUCGGGGUGUAAAGCUCUUUCGGCAGGAACGAUAAUGACGGUACCUGCAGAAGAAGCUGCGGCUAACUACGUGCCAGCAGCCGCGGUAAUACGUAGGCAGCAAGCGUUGUUCGGAGUUACUGGGCGUAAAGAGUGCGUAGGCGGUUCUCUAAGUUCGGUGUGAAAUCUCCCGGCUCAACUGGGAGGGUGCGCCGGAAACUGGAGGGCUUGAGUAUGGGAGAGGAAAGCGGAAUUCCUGGUGUAGCGGUGAAAUGCGUAGAUAUCAGGAGGAACACCUGUGGUGUAGACGGCUUUCUGGACCAUGACUGACGCUGAGGCACGAAAGCGUGGGGAGCAAACAGGAUUAGAUACCCGGGUAGUCC